AUUGAACGCUGGCGGCAUGCCUUACACAUGCAAGUCGAACGGUAACGCGGGGCAAUCUGGCGACGAGUGGCGAACGGGUGAGUAAUACAUCGGAACGUGCCCAGUAGUGGGGGAUAGCCCGGCGAAAGCCGGAUUAAUACCGCAUACGACCUACGGGUGAAAGCAGGGGAUCGCAAGACCUUGUGCUAUUGGAGCGGCCGAUGGCAGAUUAGGUAGUUGGUGGGGUAAAGGCCUACCAAGCCGACGAUCUGUAGCUGGUCUGAGAGGACGACCAGCCACACUGGGACUGAGACACGGCCCAGACUCCUACGGGAGGCAGCAGUGGGGAAUUUUGGACAAUGGGCGAAAGCCUGAUCCAGCAAUGCCGCGUGCAGGAUGAAGGCCUUCGGGUUGUAAACUGCUUUUGUACGGAACGAAAAGCUUCGGGCUAAUACCCUGGAGUCAUGACGGUACCGUAAGAAUAAGCACCGGCUAACUACGUGCCAGCCGCCGCGGUAAAAC
rnacentral:rRNA from 1 species